GCCUGGUGGCUCAGUCGGUUGAGUGUCUGACUUCAGCUCAGGUCAUGGUGUCCCAGUCCGUGGGUUCGAGCCCCAUGUUGGGCU
rnacentral:tRNA from 1 species